UACGUAGGGCGCAAGCGUUGUCCGGAAUUAUUGGGCGUAAAGCGCGUGUAGGCGGCCCGGUAAGUCGGCUGUGAAAGUCCAGGGCUCAACCCUGGGAUGCCGGUCGAUACUGCCGGACUAGAGUUCGGAAGAGGCGAGUGGAAUUCCCGGUGUAGCGGUGAAAUGCUUAGAUAUCGUCAAGAACACCGAUAGCGAAGGCAGCUUACUGGGCUGUAACUGACGCUGAGGCACGAAAGUGGUGGGGAUCAAACAGGG
rnacentral:rRNA from 1 species